AAUAAGUGUAGCCGUGGAUAUCCGUGUCCAAUGUUUGACCGUCCGUCUUAUUUAAAAAAUUUGUAAAAAAUUUGAAAAUAUUUAGUCACACGUAAAGUAUUAUUCAUGUUUUAUCAUCUAAUAGUAAUAAAAAUACUAAUCAUAAAAAAAAGUUUAAAUAAGACGAACGGUCAAACGUUGAAUGUGAAUAGUGAAAAACUGCAUUUAUG
rnacentral:pre_miRNA from 1 species